rnacentral:rRNA from 1 species
UAAACUAGGAUUAGAUACCCUAUUAUUAUAAAUGUUCAUUUUUAUACUAAAUUAUUAAUAGUUAUGUUCUUUAAAAUUAAAAAAUUUGGCGGUAUUUUAGUCUUUUCAGAGGAACCUGUCCUGUAAUUGAUAGUCCACGAUUAGGGAUACUUUAUUUAUUAAUUUACAUAUCGUCGUAGUUUGAAUAUUUUAUUAGAAUUAUAAUAUUCAAGAUUUUAUUUUAGAAAAUAUAUCAGAUCAAGGUGUAGUUUAUAAUAAAGAAGAGGUGGGUUACAAUAAAUUUAUUUUUGAAUAAAUUUUUUGAAAAAAUUUUGAAUUUGGAUUUGAAAGUAAUUUUUUGAGUUUUACUAAAAAUGAUUAUAGCUCUAAAAUAUGUACACAUCGCCCGUCGCUCUUAA